rnacentral:miRNA from 1 species
UUCAGGUCAUAUAAGCGUGGAGCUGGCUAGGCUACUGGUAACCCUACCCCCACUUGCAUGACCCUGAG